rnacentral:rRNA from 1 species
AACGAACGCUGGCGGCAGGCUUAACACAUGCAAGUCGAACGGGUGCAGCAAUGCAUCAGUGGCAGACGGGUGAGUAACACGUGGGAACCUUCCUAGAGGUACGGAACAACUCAGGGAAACUUGAGCUAAUACCGUAUACGCUCUUGCGCGGAAAGAUUUAUCGCCUUUAGACGGGCCCGCGUCGGAUUAGGUAGUUGGUGGGGUUACGGCCUACCAAGCCUACGAUCCGUAGCUGAUCUGAGAGGAUGAUCAGCCACACUGGGACUGAGACACGGCCCAGACUCCUACGGGAGGCAGCAGUGGGGAAUCUUGGACAAUGGGCGCAAGCCUGAUCCAGCCAUGCCGCGUGAGUGAAGAAGGCCUUCGGGUUGUAAAGCUCUUUUGUCAGGGACGAUAAUGACGGUACCUGAAGAAUAAGCCCCGGCAAACUUCGUGCCAGCCGCCGCCGUAA